AUCCAGCUGACGAGUCUCAAAUAGGGCGAUACCCACAUCCUGGAU
rfam:Schistosoma curassoni strain Dakar, Senegal genome assembly, scaffold: SCTD_scaffold0001585